UACGUAGGGGGCAAGCGUUGUCCGGAAUUAUUGGGCGUAAAGAGCGUGUAGGCGGUCCGGUAAGUCAGCUGUGAAAGUCAAGGGCUCAACCCUUGAAUGCCGGUUGAUACUGUCGGGCUAGAGUCCGGAAGAGGCGAGUGGAAUUCCCGGUGUAGCGGUGAAAUGCGCAGAUAUCGGGAGGAACACCAAUGGCGAAGGCAGCUCGCUGGGACGGCACUGACGCUGAGGCGCGAAAGCCAGGGGAGCAAACGGG
rnacentral:rRNA from 1 species